rnacentral:rRNA from 1 species
UUGUCUCAAAGAUUAAGCCAUGCAUGUCUCAGUACAAGCCAAAUUAAGGUGAAACCGCGAAAGGCUCAUUAAAUCAGUUAUGGUUCCUUAGAUCGUACCCACAUUACUUGGAUAACUGUGGUAAUUCUAGAGCUAAUACAUGCAAACAGAGCUCCGACCGGAGACGGAAGGAGCGCUUUUAUUAGAUCAAAACCAAUCGGUGGCGGUUUACGCCGUCAUCGUACAACUUGGUGACUCUGAAUAACUUUACGCUGAUCGCACGGUCUUGCACCGGCGACGCAUCUUUCAAAUGUCUGCCUUAUCAACUGUCGAUGGUAGGUUCUGCGCCUACCAUGGUUGUAACGGGUAACGGGGAAUCAGGGUUCGAUUCCGGAGAGGGAGCCUGAGAAACGGCUACCACAUCCAAGGAAGGCAGCAGGCGCGCAAAUUACCCACUCCCGGCACGGGGAGGUAGUGACGAAAAAUAACGAUACGGGACUCAUCCGAGGCCCCGUAAUCGGAAUGAGUACACUCUAAACCCUUUAACGAGGAUCAAUUGGAGGGCAAGUCUGGUGCCAGCAGCCGCGGUAAUUCCAGCUCCAAUAGCGUAUAUUAAAGUUGUUGCGGUUAAAAAGCUCGUAGUCGAAUCUGUGUCCCGCGCCGCCGGUUCAUCGUUCGCGGUGUUAACUGGCGUGCCGCGGGACGUCCUGCCGGUGGGCUUAGCUCGCAAGGGCGGCCCAACUCAAUCCCGCCGCGGUGCUCUUCAUUGAGUGUCGAGGUGGGCCGGCACGUUUACUUUGAACAAAUUAGAGUGCUUAAAGCAGGCUAAAACUUUGCCUGAAUACUGUGUGCAUGGAAUAAUGGAAUAGGACCUCGGUUCUAUUUUGUUGGUUUUCGGAACCCCGAGGUAAUGAUUAAUAGGAACGGAUGGGGGCAUUCGUAUUGCGACGUUAGAGGUGAAAUUCUUGGAUCGUCGCAAGACGGACAGAAGCGAAAGCAUUUGCCAAAAACGCUUUCAUUGAUCAAGAACGAAAGUUAGAGGUUCGAAGGCGAUCAGAUACCGCCCUAGUUCUAACCAUAAACGAUGCCAGCUAGCGAUCCGCCGACGUUCCUCCGAUGACUCGGCGGGCAGCUUCCGGGAAACCAAAGCUUUUGGGUUCCGGGGGAAGUAUGGUUGCAAAGCUGAAACUUAAAGGAAUUGACGGAAGGGCACCACCAGGAGUGGAGCCUGCGGCUUAAUU